rnacentral:misc_RNA from 1 species
GAAAUGCGAUAAGUAAUGUGAAUUGCAGAAUUCAGUGAAUCAUCGAAUCUUUGAACGCACCUUGCGCUCCUUGGUAUUCCUUGGAGCAUGUCUGUUUGAGUAUCAUGAAAUCUUCAAAGUAAAUCUUUUGUUAACUCAAUUGGUUUCUACUUUGGUAUUGGAGGUCUUUGCAGCUUCACACCUGCUCCUCUUUGUUCAUUAGCUGGAUCUCAGUGUUAUGCUUGGUUCCACUCGGCGUGAUAAGUUAUCUAUCGCUGAGGACACUGUAAAAGGUGGCCAAGGUAAAUGCAGAUGAACCGCUUCUAAUAGUUCAUUGACUUGGACAAUACUUUUAUGAUCUGAUCUCAAAUCAGGUAGGACUACCCGCUGAACUUAAGC